rnacentral:rRNA from 1 species
AAAUUGAAGAGUUUGAUCAUGGCUCAGAUUGAACGCUGGCGGCAGGCCUAACACAUGCAAGUCGAACGGUAACAGGAAGCAGCUUGCUGUUUCGCUGACGAGUGGCGGACGGGUGAGUAAUGUCUGGGAAACUGCCUGAUGGAGGGGGAUAACUACUGGAAACGGUAGCUAAUACCGCA